GAUGAACGCUGGCGGCGUGCCUAAUACAUGCAAGUCGAGCGAACAGACGAGAAGCUUGCUUCUCUGAUGUUAGCGGCGGACGGGUGAGUAACACGUGGAUAACCUACCUAUAAGACUGGGAUAACUUCGGGAAACCGGAGCUAAUACCGGAUAAUAUUUUGAACCGCAUGGUUCAAAAGUGAAAGACGGUCUUGCUGUCACUUAUAGAUGGAUCCGCGCUGCAUUAGCUAGUUGGUAAGGUAACGGCUUACCAAGGCAACGAUGCAUAGCCGACCUGAGAGGGUGAUCGGCCACACUGGAACUGAGACACGGUCCAGACUCCUACGGGAGGCAGCAGUAGGGAAUCUUCCGCAAAGGGCGAAAGCCUGACGGAGCAACGCCGCGUGAGUGAUGAAGGUCUUCGGAUCGUAAAACUCUGUUAUUUGGGAAGAACAAAUGUGUAAGUAACUGUGCACAUCUUGACGGUACCUAAUCAGAAAGCCACGGCUAACUACGUG
rnacentral:rRNA from 1 species